rnacentral:rRNA from 1 species
CUGGUUCUCCCCGAAAUAUAUUUUGGUAUAGCCUUGCGUGUUCAACCGUGGUUGUAAAGCACUGUCUGGCCUAGGGGCCCUACCAGGUUACCGAAGUCAUACAAACUCUGAAUGCCACGGUUCUAGAGCGCAGGAGUCAGACGGCGGGGGAUAAGCUUCGUCGUCGAGAGGGAAACAGCCCAGACCAUCAGCUAAGGGCCCAAAGUGUUGACUAAGUGGCAAACGAUGUGCGAGCGCAGAGACAACCAGGAUGUUGGCUUAGAGGCAGCCACUCGUUCAAAGAGUGCGUAAUAGCUCACUGGUCGAGUGUUCGUGCGCGGAUAAUGUAACGGGGCUUAAGUCAACCCCCGAAGCUAUGGACCUCGCGCAAGCGGGGUGGUAGGGGAGCGUUCGCGUGCCAUCGAAGCGGCGGCGGAAGCCAGCCGUGGAGGCACGUGAAGUGAGAAUGCCGGUAUGAGUAACGAAAGAUGGGUGAGAAACCCAUCCACCGAUUGCCCAAGGUUUCCUGAGUAAAGCUAAUCUUCUCAGGGUUAGUCGGGACCUAAGCCGAGGCCGAAAGGCGUAGGCGAUGGACAACAGGUUGAUAUUCCUGUACCACGUCUUUCACGUUAUUACCGAUGGGGGGACGGGGAAGGAUAAGCGAACCGUGGCGUUGGUAGUCCACGGACAACCCGGUAGGACGGAUCCCAGGAAAAUCCGGGGUCCAUGCGUCCGAGAGGGGAUGUCAGUCGGCUUCGGCCGGCCAGUCGCUGAUUCCAUGCCUCCAAGAAAAGCCUCUAGGGAGUGGGAACGUGCCCGUACCAAAACCGACACAGGUGGGCAGGUAGAGCAUACCAAGGUGAUCGAGAGAACCUCCGUUAAGGAACUCGGCAAAAUGGCCCCGUAACUUCGGGAGAAGGGGCGCCGCGGUAGGGUGACGGGACUUGCUCCCCGAGCUCGAUGCGGCCGCAGAGAAUUGGCCCAACCGACUGUUUACCAAAAACACAGGUCUCUGCUAAGUCGUAAGACGAUGUAUAGGGGCUGACGCCUGCCCGGUGCCGGAAGGUCAAGAGGAGGGGUUAGCUUCGGCGAAGCUCUGAAUUCAAGCCCCGGUAAACGGCGGCCGUAACUAUAACGGUCCUAAGGUAGCGAAAUUCCUUGUCGGGUAAGUUCCGACCUGCACGAAUGGCGUAACGAGUUGGGCGCUGUCUCAACGGAGGACUCGGUGAAAUUGUAGUGUCGGUGAAGAUGCCGACUACCCGCCGCAAGACGGAAAGACCCCGUGAACCUUUACUGCAGCUUGAUAUUGGAAUUUGGGACAUCCUGUCCAGGAUAGGUGGGAGGCUGGGAAGCGAGGACGUUAGUCUUCGUGGAGCCGCCCUUGGGAUACCACCCUGGGUCUUCUGAGUUUCUAACGCGACACCGUUAUCCGGGUUGCGGACAGUGUCAGGUGGGCAGUUUGACUGGGG